AGGACGAACGCUGGCGGCGUGCUUAACACAUGCAAGUCGAGCGGAAAGGCCUCUUCGGGGGUGGAUCAGUGGCGAACGGGUGAGUAACACGUGAGCAACCUGCCCUUGACUCUGGGAUAACUUCGGGAAACCGGAGCUAAUACCGGAUAUGACACGCGGAGGCAUCUCCUGUGUGUGGAAAGAUUUAUUGGUCAAGGAUGGGCUCGCGGCCUAUCAGCUAGUUGGUGGGGUAAUGGCCUACCAAGGCGACGACGGGUA
rnacentral:rRNA from 1 species